rnacentral:rRNA from 1 species
CCCUUAGAUGUUCUGGGCCGCACGCGCGCUACACUGACGAAUGCAACGAGCUUAUAACCUUGGCCGAAAGGUCUGGGUAAUCUCCAAAUUUCGUCGUGAUGGGGAUAGAUUAUUGCAAUUAUUAAUCUUCAACGAGGAAUGCCUAGUAAGCGCAAGUCAUCAGCUUGCGUUGAUUACGUCCCUGCCCUUUGUACACACCGCCCGUCGCUCCUACCGAUUGAGCAGUCCGGUGAAUACUUCGGACCGUUUGCAUAGAUGGUUCGCCAUCUUUGCGAAUGGAAAGUCGAGUGAACCUUACUGCUUAGAUGAAGGAGAAGUCGUAACA